UAUAUUAAGUUUUAUAGUUAGUCUAUGAGUCAUGUCUGCAGAAGUACUGAGUAAGACUGCUCUUUUUUUUUUAACUGAGUCACAUGACUUCCGCCUUUUAGUUAGUUUCACUUUCUCUCAGCCGCCACCUUCUCUCCGUCAUUCUCCUUUUCCUUCGAGUUUUAUCCGUCUUUUCGCCGUAUUUUUACCCUAGAUUUUGUUCCAGACAUUGUGAGCCAGCUCUCGGUUUAUUUCCGUGUCGUUUUAAUUGAUUUCGGCGACGAUGGAGCCGGUUUUUACCAUCAACUCCUGGGCGUUGACGGCGAUUAUCUUGUUCGUGACAUUGUCUACAGGUCAAGCUAACGCAGUCGAGUACAAGAAAGUAGGAGAUGAAGUCGUCCUGAGUCCAGGCUCUGAGGCUUCACCCAUCAGCAGCAUCACAUGGAAACAUAAUUCAAACCUGGCUGCGGAGUGGUACGGAGGAGAGGUUGAAUUCUACCGGGACUUCAAAGGUCGCUGUAAACUGAACACCGCAACUGGAGAGCUGAUCAUCCCAAACCUGACGCUAAAGGACAGCGGCUCCUACAAAGUAGAGAUCAACAACAGAGUCCUGAAACCAACUGAAAUCAAAGUUAUCUCUGGUGUCUCUAAACCAACUGUGUCAGAAAACUGUGAUGCUGAAAAGACCCACUGUGUUCUGACCUGUGAAGGCAUCACUACAGACUCUGAACCAGUCACCUACACCUGGUGGUCAGGUGAUGUGGUGAAGAGUGAAACCAAGCAGCUCAUAAUAACAAAGGACGAUACGGAGCCUUCGUUUACCUGUGAGUUAGCAAACCCAGUCAGCUCUGAACGCAGCAGAGAAGUCACCAACCCUUUCACCUCCUCCACCUCUAACACUGAGAAUAACAGUAACGGUCUCUAUCGGUUAUUCCUGUCACUGGGUCUGGAUCCAGGUCUGGGUCUGGGUCUGGGUCUGGGUCUGGUUCUGGUUCUGGUUCUGGCCAUUGCUGUUGUCGGUUUCUUCAUUUACAGACGCAGAACAGGGAGCUUUCAUUCACUACCAAGAUAUUCACCCAGAGUAGUUGAGACACAAACGUUGCUUCAUGAUAACAACGGUGAAGUCCAACAAUCAUCAUCCACUCUAGACCACAUCAAUGAAACAGACACUAAAUCAAAGACAAAAGAGGAACAAGAGAAUCAAGGAGCUCCUCCUAAUCGACAACAACCUGGUUCUCCUUCUGAUACCAGUGAUGAUCCUGACGGAGGAGGCAAACACGACCAAUGCUGAAGUACUUUGAAGAGAGAAUUUGCAAAAGGACCAAACAGAGAAGACGGUUUGACACUAAAGGACUUGAAGCAUCGACUGGACCUGAGAGGAAAUAUGAGGUUUAUUUUAUUUAAUGUUACUUGACUUUUUAUUAAUGGUUCCUGCAGCUGGUGGCCGUGCUGAAUGAUAUUAAACACUAUGAAUAGUUUGAAAUGUGUACGAUGAUUGUUAAAAGCUGUGUCUGUGUGUAUUUGUGUUAGUUUUUAAAUAUUGUAUCAGAUGCUGGGGCAUGAGUUCCUCAUAUGUCCACCAGAGGGCCCCACUAGACCAGACUUUAUCUGACUAGAGAUGAAGACUCCUCAUUCAUUCAUUCAUUCAUUCAUUCAUUUGCUGUAACUGCUUGUCCUCUGGGGUGUUGUGGUCUGAACCUCCUUUAUCAACCCAAGUAUUUUCAGAGUGUUACAGGUGAAUCCAGUGGUUUUAGCUUCUAUAGGUUUCGGUUUAGGUUUCCCCUCUCCAUGUCCUUCACCAAGACACUGUAACCAAGACCACCAACGUGUCCUUUUUAUCUAUUUUUAUUUAAUAGUUUUUGGCCUUUCUCUCUCUUAUCUUUUAGUUAUUUAUCCCUCUAGUCUUCUCACUCAGUUCUUGUUUUUCUUCAGUGUUUAUUUGUUUUUAAUUGUGCCUCCAUCUUUUUUAAUGUAAAGCACAGUGACUCGUCCUCUGUAUGAAAUGAGCUGUUUAAAUAAAGCUGCCUUGAACUGUC